AGUUCUUGUAUAAAUUAUUAUAUUAGCCUAUUCUACCUAUUUGAGGUAACUCGUUUUGUGUCUUUACAAAAUUAGAAUAAUGAAGGGAAAAAAAGAUUAAUAAUGAAAAAUACAAAACUAUAUUAAACGAGUACAUGAACUACAGCAAACAACUCAUUCUAGUGAAAUAUUGACAAACCAUCAAGUGAUAUCAGUUAGUGAAUGUGUAAAAAUAUAUUGCAAAUCGACAUUUGGUUGCAACUACUAGAGUGAACGAGACUAAAUAUAAAAAAAUAGCAUUUAUCAAUUGAACUAUUUGCAUAAGCAAUUAUCCUGUGAAAUAAUGAUUAUGUUUUAUACCAAAAAUUGAGAGACGAAGUAUACACUAAUUUUGUCCUUUUAACCUUUAACUAAUAUUACAUCAUACCUUGUAAUGACAAGGUUAACAAGAAAACAUGUUUCAUUAAUGAAACUUACUUGAUGACAAAUUAAAAGAGAACGGGCUAGUUACGUAACUUGUCUUAUUCAGUCAGUUGCUAGAAACUUAUAGAAUCUAGUUAAUUAUUUGAUAGUAUUUUCUGUUAACACUUUUUUUUAUGUUUCUAAUUUGUACACAAAAUAUGGAAUAAAAUACAGUAACUGAAACCAAAUGAGGAAAGUUCAAGCCUAUAUUUGUCAAACAAUAUAAUAAUUAAUAUUAAAGUUUAACUGGUAUUGCAAAGUUUAAAUAAAAACACUAAAAAUAAAUUUUGUGGAAUAUUUGCUUUGUGUUUGAGGUACAAGCUUAUUAAAUUUACCUCAUUUGGUCAAGUUAUCUAAUAUAAUUCGAUUCUUAAUUCACAUCAAUUACAACUGACAUAAGUAAGAUAAAUCAUAAGUCACACCAAGAGAAAUUAAUGAGCAAAUUCCUGGAAAAAAAAUUGUAGCAAGCCAAAGAAAUGGAUACAUAAACAUUUAUAAUCUUCAAUGCUGACCUGAGAAGAUUUGACGGUGAUUUGUCCAGGCCAUGGAUACAAUUUCUAUGUAUGUAGAAUGGAUACUUACACGACCGGGCCACGGCGGGAAACCUUUCAUUUUGGCCCUGUAAACAAACAUGAUACGACGUUAACAAUCGCGGUCUUUUCAUAUAUCGUUACACUUCCAAAAGCGAUUACAAGCAAAGUACAUGACCAUAAUUGCGUCAAAUAAAAUCAACUCACCAUACUAAAUCAUUGACAUCGUAUUUCCAUUCAGUCGACAUGUUUGCGAUGUUACGAGACCCGAGUGAAGCGAAAUAAAUUCAAAAUAGUUUUUACUACAAACGAAAA